rnacentral:rRNA from 1 species
AAUAGAUACCCCGGUAGUCCACGCCGUAAACGGUGGGCGCUAGGUGUGGGGGACUUUCCACGUCCUCUGUGCCGCAGCUAACGCAUUAAGCGCCCCGCCUGGGGAGUACGGCCGCAAGGCUAAAACUCAAAGGAAUUGACGGGGGCCCGCACAAGCGGCGGAGCAUGUGGCUUAAUUCGACGCAACGCGAAGAACCUUACCAAGGCUUGACAUGCAGGGAAAUCUCGUAGAGAUACGGGGUCCGCAAGGGCUCUGCACAGGUGGUGCAUGGUUGUCGUCAGCUCGUGUCGUGAGAUGUUGGGUUAAGUCCCGCAACGAGCGCAACCCUUGUCCUAUGUUGCCAGCGAGUAAUGUCGGGGACUCAUAGGAGACUGCCGGGGUCAACUCGGAGGAAGGUGGGGAUGACGUCAAAUCAUCAUGCCCCUUAUGUCUUGGGCUGCACACAUGCUACAAUGGUCGGUACAAAGGGCUGCGAGACCGCAAGGUGGAGCGAAUCCCAAAAAGCCGGCCUCAGUUCGGAUUGGGGU